UACGAAGGGGACUAGCGUUGUUCGGAUUUACUGGCGUAAAGCGCGCGUAGGCGGAUCGCUAAGGUCAGGGGUGAAAUCCCAGGGCUCAACCCUGGAACUGCCUUCGAUACUGAGAGUCUUGAGUCCGGGAGAGGUGAGUGGAACUGCGAGUGUAGAGGUGAAAUUCGUAGAUAUUCGCAAGAACACCAGUGGCGAAGGCGGCUCACUGGCCCGGUACUGGACGCUGAGG
rnacentral:rRNA from 1 species